CUCCAGCAAAUCUUACAGCUUUUGUGUGUUUAACUGCAGCACUUUUACUCAGGAGAGGCCAUCUGAGGAUCAGCACCACUGGACAGUGAUUUCUCCUGCUUAAGAGUUUCUUUUGUGACUAUGUCUCAAGCUCAUCUGGGUCUGAUAUCAUGUGUCCAACAGAGCUCUACAUCCCAGGCUGAAAAAUAUCCUUGAAAACCCAUUCAGGAACUGCUGAACCCAAGUGUUUUCUGAAGCCUGUUUCUUUUGCUGAACAGCCAGCAGGUCUGCUCUGUGGAAAAUGUGCUGCUGCAAUUUUCUGGUUGGUGUAGAAAAUUUCACCUCUAUCAAGUAAUCCUCACUGCCUGGUUCACUACCAAAAUUUAAUGGAUCCUACUCAGCAGAGUAGCUGUUGGAUCACCAAUUCUUCUGGAUGUCAGAAGCAUGGCCAAGUCUUCCUCUACAAAAUGGUUGGAAGAUAAGAGUGUACAUCCUUCGGAGAAAAUGGGACUUAAGGCUAUGCAUGCCCUCACUCAAAAAGCCUGGAUUUAAUUCCAAAGCUGUAUUUGCAUUCUAGAGCACAUCUGCGCACUACGUGCAAUAAUAACGUGAUAUUGGUAGGAAAGAGGGACACAUCAUUUCAACUAAACCCAUGGUGGUGAUAAAAGGUGAAUGGUAUUGAAAGCAUUUUUUAAUAAAUGCCACAGCAAACCUUGGCAGCAAAAACUGCUCAGAACAAUAUGUGAAUGUAUCCCUGGAGGAAACACUCAAAACUGCUCCAGAACAUGGCAUUUUUUUCCUGGCAAAAAGAGCCUUGGCCAAGGCGUUUCUCUGAGCCCUGGUUCCCACCCUCUCCUCACCCAGAGGAGCGGAAAGGCUGCCAGCUCCGACAGCAGCAGCGCGGCAUCCGUGUGUCUGGGCUCCACGGCAGUGGGCACGGCAGACACCGGGGGUGAGGAAAUGAGUCUGUCCCACUCCUGGAGACGUGCUUGACUCACUUAUGCAUCGGCAAGUGACUCACUGCCCUUCCCACAGGCUCUUCCUGCCAAGCAGAGGUGACAGGGAAAUAGGAUCCAGUGCCUACGCUUCCCCAGCCUACGUGGGGAGCUCUGUGCCAUCCCCUCCUGCCGAGCCCGGCUGGAAUGGAAGUCCCGGGAAGUGUACAGGAGUAUACAGGAGUGUACAGGAUUGUGCAAUAGUGUACAGGAGUGUACAGUUGUGUGCAAUAGUGUACAGGUGUGUGCAGGAGUGUGCAAUAGUG